UGAGGAAUAUUGGACAAUGGGCGCAAGCCUGAUCCAGCCAUGCCGCGUGCAGGAAGACGGUCCUAUGGAUUGUAAACUGCUUUUGUACGGGAAGAAACACUCCUACGUGUAGGAGCUUGACGGUACCGUAAGAAUAAGGAUCGGCUAACUCCGUGCCAGCAGCCGCGGUAAUACGGAGGAUCCAAGCGUUAUCCGGAAUCAUUGGGUUUAAAGGGUCCGUAGGCGGUUUGAUAAGUCAGUGGUGAAAGCCCAUCGCUCAACGAUGGAACGGCCAUUGAUACUGUCAGACUUGAAUUAUUGGGAAGUAACUAGAAUAUGUAGUGUAGCGGUGAAAUGCUUAGAUAUUACAUGGAAUACCAAUUGCGAAGGCAGGUUACUACCAAUGGAUUGACGCUGAUGGACGAAAGCGUGGGGAGCGAACAG
rnacentral:rRNA from 1 species